GCUUAUUUUGUUUUUCAGAUAAAUCAAGAGUUGUGCUUAACGUGGGACAUUAAACACAAAGUAACAUCUGCAUGCCACCCACAAACAAACGGCCUUGAUGAAAGGACCAAUCAAACAAUCAAAAGGGCCUUAAGCAAAUUGGUCAACAACAUACAGAACGAUUGGGAUAAAAGGCUUGAUGGGGUUCUUUUCUCAAUUCGGACCAAAAAAUAGUCGUCAACAAAAUUCAGCCCAUUCUUCCUUCUGUACGGACGGGAAGCGAUGUACCCGAGUCAGUUGCAGACUGUGGCUCUUGAUGACAUAAUAGGUGUAUUGUCCGACCCAGACAUGAUUGAAAAACAAUCCAGUGUGCGAAAGCAACAAACAGAAACCGCAGGAAAAGUUGUACUGGACAAUAUGUCUAAAG